AGGCAACCUUAUAAGACCUACUUUAAGAAGUUAGCUAAUGAGAACUACACUGCGACUUCAGCAUGUCAACCAGGAUUACUGGUUAUAACUGUGCUGAAACCAAUGGACUGACUAUGACUUCUAUAGCUGAGUCUGUGAUACAGUCCCAGAUUCAGCACACACAGAGAAACGCACACUCUGCUUCUGCGCUGGAGCCUCGCAAGCCCUGAACCAGCCGGCAUGAGGAGGAAGUGAAGCUAUUCAAAUACGUCUCCCUUUCAACCAAAGAAUAACAUAUGCAAGAGAAACUUGUGAAAGUAACAAGUGAAGGAAGAUUAAGGAAGAUACGAAAUGAAAACUGAUGUUUAUUUAAUGUCAAAUAUAGAACAUGCUUUGAAAAUCCAAUCUGGAAAUCACCUACCUGCAAGUACUAGUUUCGUAAAUAUUUUUCUAGGAGCAACUAGGAGAGGCAUUAUUUCCUGAGUUUCAGAUCUCUAAAAUAUUUGCAAAUAACUCAAAGUAUUAUGCUGUAAUUUUUUUCCUCUGUAGUCACUUGUUAGACCCUGUUACAUUAUAAUGAUUGAUUACAAAUGCAGGAUGAAAUGUUGGCCCCACUGAAUCCAUGAGAAUUCUUCUGUUGACUUCAGUGAAGCCAGGAUUUUACCCAUGGAUUUACAGCAGCAUAAUGCAACACACAUGAUUCUGUACUUCAGCUAAAUAAAAUAAACACACGACACAUUCAGUGUUACAAGAAUGAAAGCAAAGCUAUACCCUUUCCAAAAAUGGUAUUGUGCAUCUAUAAGCUUUUGAUUAAACUUAUGUUUUUGCACCUGUUGGGGUAAAAGUAAUAAAAAGUCAAACUGCUGUA